AGGAGGAACAACCCCAGUGGCUGUGGCAGCUCUGGAAACCUGGAUUCAGCCCCCGCAGUAACUACGAAGCUCUCCUUCUGCAGGGCCUGGAGGCUCGGGGCGGG
rnacentral:pre_miRNA from 1 species